CAUGCAGUCGAGGGGUAUAGUUCUUCGGAACUAGAGACCGGCGCACGGGUGCGUAACGCGUAUGCAAUCUACCUUUUGCAGAGGGAUAGCCCAGAGAAAUUUGGAUUAAUACCUCAUAGUAUGUGAGAAUGGCAUCAUUUUCACAUUAAAGUCACAACGGCAAAAGAUGAGCAUGCGUCCCAUUAGCUAGUUGGUAAGGUAACGGCUUACCAAGGCAACGAUGGGUAGGGGUCCUGAGAGGGAGAUCCCCCACACUGGUACUGAGACACGGACCAGACUCCUACGGGAGGCAGCAGUGAGGAAUAUUGGACAAUGGGCGCAAGCCUGAUCCAGCCAUGCCGCGUGCAGGAUGACGGUCCUAUGGAUUGUAAACUGCUUUUGUACAGGAAGAAACACUGGUUCGUGAACCAGCUUGACGGUACUGUAAGAAUAAGGAUCGGCUAACUCCGUGCCAGCAGCCGCGGUAAUACGGAGGAUCCAAGCGUUAUCCGGAAUCAUUGGGUUUAAAGGGUCCGUAGGCGGUUUAGUAAGUCAGUGGUGAAAGCCCAUCGCUCAACGGUGGAACGGCCAUUGAUACUGCUAGACUUGAAUUAUUAGGAAGUAACUAGAAUAUGUAGUGUAGCGGUGAAAUGCUUAGAGAUUACAUGGAAUACCAAUUGCGAAGGCAGGUUACUACUAAUGGAUUGACGCUGAUGGACGAAAGCGUGGGUAGCGAACAGGAUUAGAUACCCUGGUAGUCCACGCCGUAAACGAUGGAUACUAGCUGUUGGGGGCAACUUCAGUGGCUAAGCGAAAGUGAUAAGUAUCCCACCUGGGGAGUACGUUCGCAAGAAUGAAACUCAAAGGAAUUGACGGGGGGCC
rnacentral:rRNA from 1 species